GCCAAGCCAUGUGGUCGGGUCUACUUUCCCCUUGCUUUUAUUUUCUUUGUGAGGAUGCAUUUUGCCUCUUUUAAAGGCAAAAUGAAGCAGCAUGAACCUUUUACCUUCUGCCUCUGUUAGAAGUUGAAGUCAAAGGGACUCAAGCCGGCUUACAAAAUCCAGCAAGAAUUCAGUUCCACCAUCCAGUGGAACCAUGACCACUCAAUAUGAGUAUGAAAGACAAUAGGCACACCAUCUGCAAACUGAGAAUCCUGCGGGUGUCUUAAGUUAGAUUUUGAGAAGAGCAAAUUCUUGAAAACUCAUUUCAUGACCAGGCACAAUGAUUUUCACUCCAGAAUCUGUCAAUCAAUCCAGAUAACUUCCAGCGAGCUCUUUUAUGCAAACGGUGACUACAGAAAACUUUGCAUGGAUCAGGUUUACUAUAGUUGACAUAAGUCAUGUGAGGACUGAACCUCAGAAAGAACUCACAUCUGGCUAUGUGUGGACCACUUUUGGAAACUGAGCAUGUUGUUAAAAUCCAACUGUUUUCAGAUUUUAGCUAAGAAAAAACUACCAUGUAAAUCAUUCCUUCCCCUAAAUCCAAUUGUUAAUUCCAAAUGGGGUAGAUCUACUGGAUCAAUGGAAUAAGGGAAACUCCACACUUACGUAAGUUCCACUGAUAUAAUCAUUUACUCUGGUUGGGAGUAACAACUGAAUUCUUUUUUGAAUUAGUUAACUUUCAGGAGGCACAAUAACGGGUACCGGCCUCACCUUGGCUACCCCAUUUUCACCUGAGCAGCAGAGGGCAGGAGUGCACAAUGAGGAAAAUGGUGCUGGGCACCAGUCUCUUCAUUCCACAAGCCUCUGCGGUGUUCAAAUUUGUGGGCUCCUGUGCCUGGCAGAAAGUGGCAGCCAAUGGAGGUUGAUAUGACUGAGGAAGUUUCCAUUCCUCAUCUUAAGAACAUUAGCACAUGUCAGUUUCAUAAGGUGGCUUUGGAGUAGCUUCCCUGUCUACACUUCCCUAUGUCAAUAUGGAUUGGGGAUUGAAUUAGGGGCAGUUGAUGAGCUAUUAAAUUUACUUGUCACAACAUUGACAUGGCUGGUAUGGGGCCGAAUUAAGUGGGGUUUUGUCUUGAGUGCCUAUCCCCCUUGGGGAAAGGGGAUCCCCUUAUGAAUACCUUGUGAUGAGGAUGUUGGGAUGCCCCCAACUUAGGCAGGUGGAAGUCCUAGCCUUGGUGCAGUGGCAGGUGGCUUACAAACUGAUGGGAUCCUGGUUUCUGCCCCCCAGGAGUUGAGCUAGUAGGGCAAUGAUGCACUAUUGGCUGACAGUUGGCAUUCGGUUCCAUACCAAAAAAACCUUCUUUCAGCUGUAAUCAAUAAACAUUGUGGUGUGUUCUAUUCCAAAUAAGUGUCUGGAAUGUUUCUUGAGGUAUGCUGUCUAUUUUGCCAUUGAGGGCUACAUUUAUAUUUGUUUUGCAGUGGGCAAUUGCGUGCUGUAUUCUUUUAAGUUGUUUCCAACCUAUGAUGAGCCCACAAGUGAACUUAUCAUGCAGAUUUUAGAUGAAAGCUUUAUUCAGAGGAGGUUUUGUAAUGCCCUCCUCUGAGGCCAAGGGUGUGUGGCUUGAACAUGGCUACACAGUGGGUAUCCUUAGCUGAGUGAGGAUUCAAAUCCUGGUCAACUACAGUCCUAAUCCAACUCUCAAACCACUAUGUUGACUCUGUAGUAAACUACGUGAUAGUAAUUCUGAAUAGGUUUAUUGGGUCUUAUUCCAAUACAGAAAGGGAGAUAUCGCAAUUGUAUUUUGAGCUUAUAAUAUAUAUGUUUAUAUGCUUAUAUAUGCUUAUAAUAAGCCCUACCAAAUCCAAUGAAGCCUAUUUCCAAGGAAAAAUGUAUAGAAUUCUUUUGUAUACUCUCAGGACCUCAUCACAUGAAAGUGGGGAAAGCAGGGAAAAGCAGAGGGAACCGUCUUCUUUCGUUCUUUACUAUGACUUCCCUUCUUCACAUCCUUUCCCCGUCAUUCCCCUCUUCCAUCCGGCUUCUACGUGUU